UUGAACGCUGGCGGCAGGCCUUACACAUGCAAGUCGAACGGUAACAGGUCUUCGGAUGCUGACGAGUGGCGAACGGGUGAGUAAUACAUCGGAACGUGCCCGAGAGUGGGGGAUAACGGAGCGAAAGCUUUGCUAAUACCGCAUACGUCCUACGGGAGAAAGCAGGGGACCUUCGGGCCUUGCGCUAUCAGAUGAGCCUAGGUCGGAUUAGCUAGUUGGUGGGGUAAUGGCUCACCAAGGCGACGAUCCGUAACUGGUCUGAGAGGAUGAUCAGUCACACUGGAACUGAGACACGGUCCAGACUCCUACGGGAGGCAGCAGUGGGGAAUAUUGGACAAUGGGCGAAAGCCUGAUCCAGCCAUGCCGCGUGUGUGAAGAAGGUCUUCGGAU
rnacentral:rRNA from 1 species